UUGUUUGUUGAAGAAAGCAGAUAGGAAACUAGUGUUUCCUCUUUAAUUCAUCUCCUGAACAAGCUAAGCUUGCCAGAAACUCUUGAUUUUGUUUGUAAUCAUAAUCUUCAAGUUGAUCCAAACAAGAUUAUCACUUCUCAUCCUGGUAUGCCUAUCUUGGUCUCAGAGUGCCCAAGUGUUGGUUCCUCUACAGUGAGGUUUUUUCCAUAUAACUCCAUUCUUCAAAAUUUUGAAGUUCAAGAGGAGAUGCAAAAUUAUGUUCAGAAAUGGAUCAUUUUCAUGUUGUAAUGGCUAGUAUGCCGGUAAGAUAUUUAUUGUCUGACUUCCAUUUGUUGAAGUUGUGUUUCUUGAAUCCCACCAAAAUUGAUUUAUCUAUUUUUUUGUUAUAGUUGGCUUCAUUUUCUUGUACCCUUGAAGAAUAAAUUCUGUUGUCCACUAUUUUAUCAUGACUUGUGAGAACUGAAGGCCUUCUAAAUUUAUACCUGCAACAUUAGCAAAAAGUCUCCACAACUUUACAGUUGUAUGGGAGGUUAGAAAAAGGUGAGACAUAGUCUCUGAUCUAGU